rnacentral:tRNA from 1 species
GCCCCCGUCGCUCAAUUGGCAGAAGCCGUGCGCUUAAACCGCAUGCCAGUGCGGGUUCGAGUCCCGCCGGGGGCA